AGGCAACCAGACAAACUGGUGGUGGUCUGGACGCGCAGGAGCCGGAGGAAAUCCUCCAAGGCCCACAGCUGGCAGCCUGGCAUCAAAAACCCCUACAGAGGAGUGGUGGUGUGGCCUGUCCCGGAGAACAUAGAGAUCACGGUCACGCUUUUUAAGGACCCCCAUGCAGAGGAGUUUGAAGACAAAGAGUGGACAUUCGUCAUUGAAAAUGUGAGUACCAU